GGGGAAUUUUCCGCAAUCCGCGAAAGCAAAUGACGGAGCAAUACCGCGUGAGGGAGGACGGCUUUUGGGUUGUAAACCUCUUUUAUCAGGGAAGAAUCGAUGACGGUACCUGAUGAAUCAGCAUCGGCUAACUCCGUGCCAGCAGCCGCGGUAAUACGGAGGAUGCAAGCGUUAUCCGGGAAUUAUUGGGCGUAAAGCGUCCGUAGGUGGUUUAUCAAGUCUGCUGUCAAAGCGUGCGGCUUAACCGCAUAAGGGCAGUGGAAACUGAUGAACUAGAGUGCGAUAGGGGUAACAGGAAUUCCCAGUGUAGCGGUGAAAUGCGUAGAUAUUGGGAAGAACACCAGCGGCGAAAGCGUGUUACUGGGUCUGCACUGACACUGAGGGACGAAAGCUAGGGGAGCGAAAGGGAUUAGAUACCCCUGUAGUCCUAGCCGUAAACGAUGACAACUAGGCGUGGUUCGUAUCGACCCGAGCCGUGCCGUAGCCAACGCGUUAAGUUGUCCGCCUGGGGAGUACGCACGCAAGUGUGAAACUCAAAGGAAUUGACGGGGGCCCGCACAAGCGGUGGAGUAUGUGGUUUAAUUCGAUGCAACGCGAAGAACCUUACCAAGGCUUGACAUCCUCGGAACCCUGAUGAAAGUUAGGGGUGCCUUCGGGAGCCGAGAGACAGGUGGUGCAUGGCUGUCGUCAGCUCGUGUCGUGAGAUGUUGGGUUAAGUCCCGCAACGAGCGCAACCCACGUUUUUUAGUUGCCAGCAUUCAGUUGGGCACUCUAGAGAGACUGCCGGUGACAAACCGGAGGAAGGUGUGGAUGACGUCAAGUCAGCAUGCCCCAUACGCCUUGGGCUACACACGUACUACAAUGCGUCGGACAAAGAGCAGCCAGCCAGCGAUGGUGAGCCAAUCUCAUAAACCGACGCUCAGUUCAGAUUGCAG
rnacentral:rRNA from 1 species